rnacentral:piRNA from 1 species
CCUUUCAAUCACUUCAAGGUUCUGCAUGUUC